rnacentral:rRNA from 1 species
GACGAACGCUGGCGGCGUGCUUAACACAUGCAAGUCGAACGGAAAGGCCCUGCUUUUGUGGGGUGCUCGAGUGGCGAACGGGUGAGUAACACGUGAGUAACCUGCCUUGACUUUGGGAUAACUUCAGGAAACUGGGGCUAAUACCGGAUAGGAGCUCCUGCUGCAUGGUGGGGGUUGGAAAGUUUCGGCGGUUGGGGAUGGACUCGCGGCUUAUCAGCUUGUUGGUGGGGUAGUGGCUUACUAAGGCUUUGACGGGUAGCCGGCCUGAGAGGGUGACCGGCCACAUUGGGACUGAGAUACGGCCCAGACUCCUACGGGAGGCAGCAGUGGGGAAUAUUGCACAAUGGGCGGAAGCCUGAUGCAGCAACGCCGCGUGCGGGAUGACGGCCUUCGGGUUGUAAACCGCUUUCGCCUGUGACGAAGCGUGAGUGACGGUAAUGGGUAAAGAAGCACCGGCUAACUACGUG